ACGUCCGUGGACCUGUAACAGAGGACCUUCAAAGGAACCCAGACACCCCCCACCACGAAAAAUGCCCGGGGCCUUUGACGCCUCAAGACCCGGAUUUACAAUCUCUGUCUCAAAUAAAUGUGAAUAUCGGCAUCAAAAUGCGUGAUUCUCAUUAUGCUCGAGGAACUUCAAUACUAAAAAGCACCUUAAACAUCUGGAAAGACCACAACUCACAUCUUCUACACACAAAAGACAUGUGUGUUUUUCAAACAAAAGAUUACCGCUGAUCUGGUUAACUGGAAAACCUCCAGCCAAUUCCUCCAGCCAAGCCACUGCAGGACCAUGAUUUAUAACCAGGAGCUUCCGUAAAAUGGACCAACAAUGCAGGCAUUAACAUGGAUCCACCUAGAGCCACAGGAAAUUAGACCAGUGCAUAAAAUGAAGACCAGUAAGACGUCUGGCUCAAACAAAGCUUUGUCUGGACUCAAUUUAUGCAUUAACUUUAGUAAAUGAUGUGGACUUUAUCACCUUUACCCCUUUCUCAGUUUUAGAUAAGUAGUUUUUUUACAGUCUCAUAUUAGUAGCUAAUUAUAAGCAGUUUGUAAAAGUGGCUAAAUUUAGACAUAGUGGGGUUUAUACGGUGUCUGUUUCUUGGCUCUGCAGCACCACAAACAAACACUGACCAGAGAUGUAGAAAGAGGUUUAAUAGAGAGAAUAAAAAAGACAAGUGUAAAUAAAUAAAAAAAUCUAAUUGGUAAAAAACUAUUGCUGCCUCAUAAAAUAACAAAAAGGACAGUUACAGCAUUUUUUAGUUAAUUUAUGGCAGUUUGUUUACAAUAGUGCAAUAUAGUACAUACAGUAGUUGGGAAUGGUUACACUGAAUAUAAAUCCUCCACAAUCAGGGCGGUGGACAGGGACAAAACAUUUAGAGUGCUCUUAGACAGCAGUUCAAAUACCGUCUGCCUUGAACCACGCCGGCAGAUGAAUCCAGUUAUCAGACUGUACUGCAGGGCGAUAAUAAAUGUCACAGUUUGAACAUUUUUGUGUGGGUGAAGGCCUGGCUGGCGGCAGUGCUUCUGAUGUGACUACAGUGCAUUAGAACAGAACUUCACAGUUUAAAAAAAGAAAAACACGUUUAAACUUCCUACACUCAGACUGGACAGACUGAGGUCUGAGCUUUAGCGGAGAAAUAAGUAAAAAAGGAUAACAAACUACACUAGCUUAUGCAGUAUAACAAAUGACAGAUAGAUAAAUGUUCCAGCUAAAGAAGGAAUGUCAGUAAUUUGGUCUGCUGAUAAAACAAAACUCCCUGGGACUAUUUAUUAACCUGGCAGUGUCUAUUACCAGGCAUAUU